rnacentral:rRNA from 1 species
GACCUCAGAUCAGGCAAGACUACCCGCUGAAUUUAAGCAUAUCAAUAAGCGGAGGAAAAGAAACUAACAAGGAUUCCCCCAGUAACGGCGAGUGAAGCGGGAAG